rnacentral:rRNA from 1 species
UGGGGCUUGGAGUUCUACUCCCACCCAUGUGAACUUACCUUUUGUUGCCUCGGCAGAAGUUAUAGGUCUUCUUAUAGCUGCUGCCGGUGGACCAUUAAACUCUUGUUAUUUUAUGUAAUCUGAGCGUCUUAUUUUAAUAAGUCAAAACUUUCAACAACGGAUCUCUUGGUUCUGGCAUCGAUGAAGAACGCAGCGAAAUGCGAUAAGUAAUGUGAAUUGCAGAAUUCAGUGAAUCAUCGAAUCUUUGAACGCACAUUGCGCCCAUUAGUAUUCUAGUGGGCAUGCCUGUUCGAGCGUCAUUUCAACCCUUAAGCCUAGCUUAGUGUUGGGAAUCUACUUCUCUUAGGAGUUGUAGUUCCUGAAAUACAACGGCGGAUUUGUAGUAUCCUCUGAGCGUAGUAAUUUUUUUCUCGCUUUUGUUAGGUGCUAUAACUCCCAGCCGCUAAACCCCCAAUUUUUUGUGGUUGACCUCGGAUCAGGUAGGAAUACCCGCUGAACUUAAGCAUAUCAAUAAGCGGAGGAA